GCCAGCAGCCCUAUCACCCUGCAGCUCCCAGCUGGCCGCCCACUGGAGCUCAGCAGUGUGAGCCUGGCCAGUACCUGGAGGGGAGACCUCCUGGGAAAGCUAAGGUUGCUGCUGGAA
rnacentral:rRNA from 1 species